GUGCUCACUUUGGCAGCACAUACACUAAAAUUGGAACGAUAUAGAGAUUAGCAUGGCCCCUGCGCAAGGAUGACAUGCAAAUUCAUGAAGUGUUCCAUAUUUAA
ensembl:snRNA U6 U6 spliceosomal RNA